GCUUAUAAAGCUAAAAUAUAGCGUUGGUCUUGUAAACCAAAGGUUGGGCUUCCCCUAUAAGCU
rnacentral:tRNA from 1 species